ACCGGGUGGCAGUGUGGUUAGCUGGUUGUCAGCAUAUCGGACAACGGCUAUCAUCACUGCCGUCCUGG
ncrna:Brugia malayi microRNA bma-mir-34 precursor